rnacentral:rRNA from 1 species
AGGUUGAUAGGUCAGAGGUGGAAGCGUGGCGACAUGUGGAGCUGACUGAUACUAAUAGAUCGAGGACUUAACCAA